UACAGAGGUCCCAAGCGUUGUUCGGAUUCACUGGGCGUAAAGGGUGCGUAGGUGGCCGGGUAAGUUUGAUGUGAAAGCUCGGAGCUUAACUCCGAAAUGGCAUUGAAUACUAUCCGGCUGGAGGGUCGGAGGGAGACUGGAAUUCUCGGUGUAGCAGUGAAAUGCGUAGAUAUCGAGAGGAACACCGGUGGCGAAGGCGGCCUGCUGGGCAGUAGCUGACACUGAGGCGCGGACAGCGUGGG
rnacentral:rRNA from 1 species